GAAGUGAACAUUUUUGUUUUGAAGAUAGUAUCUAGUUACAGCUGAAAAGUGUUGAAUAUUGAUAAUUUAUGAUACAAUUGGAAAAAAAAUAGGAGAGCCAUCAUUAUUGUUUCUCUUGUCAAGUUCCGUUUAAACCACAUUUUAUUUUCUCUUUCUCUCUUUUGUAUUUGUUUUCAUCUGCAUAUAGUAAAUCAGCUAUCAGAAGAAGGUUAGUUAGUGGUGUUUGAUGGACACUGUUUUGGUCGGUUGUCAUGUGGCGACGGCCCCAUCACCGAAACGAAGUCGUACCAAAGCAUCACACGAGCAGCAGGUCCAAGAAAUACGUGUGUGCACCAACCGUGCUUGCCGCAAACAAGGAUCCUUUCAAACCCUAGAAACACUCUCUGGUAUCGCUCCUCCGAACGUCGCCGUUAAGACGUCCGGGUGCUUGGGCAAGUGCGGCGCCGGACCCAACCUGGUGUUUCUUCCCGAUGGCAUCCUCGUGGGUUAUUGCGGGACGGCUGCUCGUUGUUUGGAGGUGAUGUUUGGUGGAAGAGAUGAUUCCAAAACUAGUUUGGAUGCGCUUGCUUUGAGGAAGAGGGCAGAUGUUGAAUUUGAGAACAAAAACUUUGGUGAGGCUGAGGUUUUACUCUCAAAGGCUAUAGAUUUGAAACCACUUGGUGGCUUACAUGUCACGUUUAAAUGCAGGUCAUUGGUAAGGCUUGAAUUGGGCAACUACUCUGCUGCCCUCCAAGAUGCUAACGAGGCUUUGCUAUUAGCUCCCAACUAUUCUGAGGCUUAUAUCUGCCAAGGUGAUGCCUUUUUGGCAUUCAACAAUUUUGAUUUGGCACAGCAGUCCUAUUUAUCAGCUUUACAUAUAGAUCCUUCCAUCCGUCGUUCUAAAUCUUUCAGGGCUCGAAUAACAAAGCUUCAGGAAAAACUUGCUCCAUCAUAGGAUUCAAAGUCUAAUCAUGGCCAGAGGAAUACAUUUUUUGUAAAUCUUUGCAGGUAGCCAAAUAAGAUUGGAUUUUACUUGCUCAGGUAAUUUAAGAGCUACAGACACAUAAGUCUCUGUGUUUAGGGGAUUAAAAAGAAAUCUCUCCAGGAUUUGCCAAAAAUAAAGUACUAAGCAGCUAAAUACUCCUUCCAUAUCACAACAGCAUCUAAUCUUGUUCACUGUCCCUCCUGCAAAUAUACAUGUACUGAAUUAAUAACCGUCUAUCUAUUGUGGGAAAUAAUAGGAAAGAUUAGAGACAUACAAUCAAAUGUGGCCCAGCUGGAAGGAGGUAUGGUUGAGAAAUUGAAAAAUUCAACACUCUUUCCUGGGGACUUGUCAAAAUCAACGGAGGAUGACGGUCUCUUUAAUGGAGGUGAACUCUUCUUUUGCUUGUCCAAACAACCCCGAAUCUAUUUCCAGAUGUAGAAAUAAUUGUAAGAAAACAAUAGAACUUAGCAUAUUGGAGGAUUGCAAGUGGUUUUUCAAGACCAA